UACGUAGGUGACAAGCGUUGUCCGGAUUUACUGGGCGUAAAGAGCGCGCAGGCGGUCGAUCAAGUCGAGUGUGAAAGCCCCCGGCUCAACUGGGGAGGGUCAUUCGAUACUGAUCGACUCGAAGGCAGGAGAGGGUAGUGGAAUUCCCGGUGUAGUGGUGAAAUGCGUAGAUAUCAAGAGGAACACCUGCGGCGAAGGCGGGUUGCUGGGCCGACACUGACGCUGAGGCGCGAAAGCCAGGGGAGCGAACGGG
rnacentral:rRNA from 1 species